UAUCAAAAGUGAGGAACUAAAAAGAUUUGAUUAAGCUAUAUUCUGAGGACUAAACAGUAAUUUACCCUUUAUUUUAUAGAAACUCAAUUUCAAAAUCAUAACUGUGAAGUAGCAUUCUAAACCAUGCAUAAGUCCUGAACAAAUCCUUUGUAUGCAAAAAAGAAGAAGAAAUUUUCUACUCUACAAUUAAGAAUAAUCGCAAUUGCUAUUGAAAGGACAUACCCCAUUAUUUGCCUCCAUGGGAUG
rnacentral:misc_RNA from 1 species